rnacentral:lncRNA from 1 species
GAAUAUGAAGGGGCCUCGCAUGUAAGCACCAACUAUCUUGGACCGCAAGUCAACGGUUUUUAUGAAGAUCAUCACUACGCAGAAACAGAUGUAUCUUCUUCGCCAAUGAAUAAUGAAUUCAACAAAGUGAAGACCUUUGAUAUACGAGGAGUCACAGAAACUGCCGCUAAGUGACUAAGAGAACUUGUACUGCCUCUCUUGAUAAUGUUAUCUUGUCUUGAGCCACUGAUUUCUACCUUUUAUGUAUUUGGUUACAUGUUUUAUCAAUGCAAGCAUAUAUUUUUGAAGGUUAAACUAGUAAAAUCAAAAGUGUUAAAGAAAUUAGCAAAAAACAAAUAUAUACAAGAUUCAGAAAAUCAGAACACUUAACUAAGUUAACUUUAAAAAUCAUUCAUGUGUACAAAGAAAGAACCUCUCACUUAUCUUUUGGAGGACGGAAAUAACUAUAAGCUGCAAAGAAGACUUGUAAAGCUGCAAAUAUAAGAAGCAACAACGCUGCAACUGACGAUGCAAAUGUCCAUGGACUAUCGAAAUGCGUAUGAAUAAACUCUGCACAGUGAACAUGGAAUCCUUUUGAAGUAUACUCGUUAACACCUUCAAACACCUUUGCUAAGUAACUCUUCUCUAAGUCGAGGGCAAUGUCUUUACCAAUGCUUUUAUAAAACCGAGACACUUCCUCCUCUGUUCCAAAAUAGUUCUCCAGGAUCCUUUUUUCGCUAAGGAACGCUGCAUCGCCUUCUUCGUUUAUAAGACAGGCCAUGAAAGCUACGUAGCUCGUUAUGUGGUUCGAUGUUACAGCAUAUAACUGCUCAAAUGCGACACAGUUUAACAAGAACGAGGCAGUAAAAUCAUCCAUGACUACCGGAGGAAUAUGAAGCACACCGUUACUAAGCUUUAUGUCUAAGAUUGAGUCUGUGUUCUUCCUCGGUUUGAACUUGAUUCCUCGAAGAUGAAGCUUCUUGGCUGAGAGAACGAAUUCGAGAUAUUCAUGAUCUGGUUUACUGCUAGAUUUUCCUCGUUCCCCCUCGGAACAACAGAGGAUUGUGAGAUAGCUAUGAUCUUUGAUGCUUGUUUGAGACGGAACAGGAACAAAAGUCGUACGUAUCAAAUCAAGAAGAUGUUUUGCUUCAAGACCAUAAUGUUUUUUCCAAAAGCUCUCUGGUUUUUGUAAUGAGUAGUCAAAGAAUUCAAAAGCCAUCUCGUUAAGACCACUACAAGCAACUAACCUCGAUGCUUCGCAUAGAGCUUGAAGAAGAAGAUACGGAACCUGGUUUUCCAAAAGUAGAAGAUCGGCUCGAAUCGAUUGCAAGAUCCAUGGCAUUCUGAAAAUAGGAUCAUCUUGAUUAAUUGUGUAAACAACUUUCCCGGUAACAACAAAGAACAACGUGAGGAUAAAGCAACCAUCAAGCACCAUCAUCUCAACCAAUUUUUCAGAAUCUAAACCAAGAUCCUCAGAGUAAGAACCUCUUAUAACUCCUUCUAAACUCGAUACAACUUUGACCAGUUCUUGAGGAUCAGAACCCUUUUCUUCCAUUUUAGCCACGAAAAACUUCAAGAAUCGGCGUUUAUGCUGCUGUAUCAUCUGGAGAUGUUCUUUGCCGUGAUGGUAAGGACCAAUGGAUAAGAUCUUUGGUUCGUAAGCUUUGAGGUUGAUUCUUGCAAGGCUCUGUGGGAUUCUCAAGAUGCAACAUGACUUUGAACCAGCUGAUUCUCUCAGCAGCUUCGGACCAGCAUCUUCUGAAACUAAUCGAUAUAUGUCCAGGACUGUUGUCGGGAUGAUAGUACCAUGACUAUUCUGGCCUGCACUUUGGUUGGCCUGUGGAUUCAUUUGUAGUUUAGUACAAAUGUUCAAACCCACCUACAGAUUAAAGUUAUAUCGUAGAAUUUUGUAAUGAAACUCAGGAAAGAGAAGUGAAAUUUCGCACUAGCAAAACGUUGACAAGUCUCCAUCCACGUUAGGUCGGCAGAGGAACAAAAGUAAUAUUUUUUGGAAACCUAACAAAAGUAUGUUUGGCAUCUAUCGAUCCUCAGUGAGUUAGACUGGAGUCUUGGUGUCAAAUGAAGUCGUGACUGUGUGCGAGUUGGCGUUAGAAAAACUAGGAAAGUACGUGGAUCCAACUCUGCGUUAGUCAAGUAAACAUAAAAUAAAAGAAGUGAUAAUAGCAACUGUACAUUAAAACAUCUUCCAGAAUCAAAUUUAUUUUAUUUUGUCUCUACACUUUAUUUAAGUUGGACAAGCAAGUAGUACCUUGUUUGUUAAACUCAUUUACAACCUCUAGAGAAAAUGUUGACAAUGUUUAUCAACAUAUGUUUAUUUCUUCUCUUUUUGUUUUUCGUCAUAAAAAUAUGCUCCUUCCAACAACACAAACCUGCGAGAGAAACCAAAUCGGAGCCCUUUAACAGAAAGAAAAAAGAAGAACCCAAAUCGGAACCACCGGUCAGUUACUAUGUUUUGCAAGGUGAUAAUGGUUAUUCACCGACGACAAAUGAUUUCAACAAAGUGAAAACGUAUGAAUUUGGUAAAGUGGCAGAGACUAAGUCUACGGGACAAGGAGGGAGCAGCAAAUGAUCUUCAGAAUCUCUAAAAUUGCUUUCUUGCUAAAUUUGUGCAAAAAUAAAGAGACUGUUUUGUUUGUCUUUGAAAGAUGCUUUCAGUUCCUUAUAGGCCUGGAUAAGUUAUUUGCGUUUGCGUUUGUAAUUUAUGUGUAUUGUUUGUUUUCUUAAGAUAUGGAGUAUCAUUUAAAAAGUAUACAUUUCAAGCAAAAUCGAUUGAGUUCAAAGAAAUUAAAAUAUGUUCUAUGUGAUACAAAAAUGCUCAAGGCGUUUGCGUGUAGAUAGAAUUGGCUUUUAUUUGGUAGCUAGUUUCCUAAUAACUGAGUGGGAAAUAGAAAGGAAGCUGUGUGUGUGGUGGAAGUCACCAACUUCAAAUUUGCGUUUACUAAAGUCAACUCUCAAGAAGCCAAUUAUAGGAGAGACGUUUAUAUAAAAUCUAAGGAAUUAUUAGUUCUCUCUUUGUGAAGAACAUUUUUAACAUCUUCAUGAAUGUCAGAAUCAAAAUCUCUGUCUCUCUGGUAGUGAGAUCUUACGUACAAAACAAAAAAUGUCUAUAGGAUGUCUAAGUUUUCUGAAAGCCAUAUGUUCUAAGAAGAAGCAGAGCAAGAAAGAAGGCAAUCCCUCGAAAGCGGAGAGAUUGACAAAACCAGUUAGUGGAAUCAGCACAGAUGAGAACAUACACUUCGACUCACAAUGUGGCAGCAGCGAUGUUGGCUCUGGAAAAAUAUAUUACUCCUUUAAACAACUCGGUUUAUGUGAUAAAUUUAAUGGAGAUGUUCAAUCUUCAGAGAUGAGUAAUGAAUUCAACAAAGUCAAAACAUUUGAUUUACGAGAAGUCUCAAAAGAAGCUGCGAGGUGAAUGAAGAAGACAAGUGGUUGAGAGAUGUGAUUUGUUCAACGCAUCUUUACUUAUUAGACUGGAUAAAUAUUUAUUAUCUUCUUCUGAGCCACUGAUUACUUCUAUGUAUCUGAUUUCAAUUUUUACAAAUCCAAACAUAUAUCAUUUUUAUUUUUAUCUAAGAACAAAUAUCAGAAGUGUUAAAAAGAAAGCAGCCGAGGAUUUAGCCCCUUUUUUAAUUAAAAUUUUCUUUAAUGGAUCAUUAAUUUUGUCAAAAUAGAUUUUUCUGAUUUAGUCAACCGUUUGUCCUACUCCUACCCUUUGGCUUUUGGAUUUGGGGUUGUAAAGAGUGGAAGUUGCAUGCAUGGAGUCAAACCUGCUUACCAAAAUGAAAAACAAAUGUCACCUUUCUGCAUGCGUCUUUGGUAGGGGUAAGAAAAAAGGGUCACAUCUGGUGGCUUGGUUAAUCAAAGACUUGGACUUUUGGACUAGGGCAUAAAAAUUCAGUCUUGCGGUCAAAGUUACUAGAAACGACGACUCUUUCUUAUUGUAAAAGAUAAUACAGUAUUAACUCUCUUUGUUGUUUCUUUCUCCAGCCUAUAUUAUGCGUAUGUUGAAUAAAUAGCAUAAGCCAUUGUGAUACAUAAAUUUAAAUUUAUUUUUGAAAAGAAUCUAAAUCAUCUAAAUUUAAUGUACACAUAAAUAUACAUUAUUAUUUUUUCACAUACUUUUUUUUGUUAUAAUGCAAGUAAUGAGAAGUUCACUGUUUUGGGAGAACUUAAAAAUUCAGUUUUUAUAGAUGAUAUCACUUAAUAAAAGAGAGGAAAAAUACCACUAUUUUUGUCUUUCUAUAAAAAAAAUACCACAAAUACGAGAUAAUUUUUUUUUUGAAGAACGCAUAUUAUACUAUGGGUGCAAAUGGUUUUUUUUUUUUUUGUUUUUUUUUUGUUAACUCAGGGUAAAUCCCCAGACCUAUGUAAGGAUCCGAGACUAAUCUCUGGGGAGAGGGUAUCCCACGUGAUCAAAGGGAUAAAGCUAGCAAUUCUGCGUCUGAGAAGAAUCGAUUCCUGACCAAGACCAACAGGGCGACUCUUCCACCAAGAUAGAACCACUAGCCCACCACCUCUGGUUAAUGGGUGCAAAUGGUUGGAUGCAAAUGAAUGAAUGAUUGGAAAAAACUGGAGUUGAAAUAACUGUUAUUCAACUUACUUAUAAAAGGAUACAUUAGCAUGUUUUUUCUUAUUGAUGUUUUAAAAAGUGGUACAAUAAAAGUAGUAAGAUUUGGAUAAAGUGAGCUCCUGGAUCCGAGUUGGUAUACCUUUUUAAAGUUUUUUUUUGUUUUCUCUCUUUUGGUAAUUUCCUGCAAGAAGUGAGUGGUGGAAGAAAGGAAGCUGCGUACAUGGAGACCCAAGGAUUCAUAUUGAAAAGAAACACCCUUUAUUAUAAUAAUAAUAACUCAGGUCUCUUUCUCUCUUUUUCGAAGAUGUAACCAUCUUCAUUCAAGGAAUCAAAUCUUUGUUUCUGGUAUAACCUUCUUCUUUUUUUUUUUUUUUUUUUUUUUUUUUUUUUUUGUUUCUGGUAUUACCUUCUUUAAGUUGAACAAAAACACACAUAUUGUUUGUUAAAACUUAUCUAUCCACCUCCCAAGAAAAAUGUCUACAGGAUGUCUCACUUGUUUCAAAGUCAUGUGUUUCAAGAAGAAGCAGAGCAAGAAAGAAGACGAACCCGUGAAAGCAGAGAUAUUGCCAGAGCCAUUUGGUGAAAAAGAUAAAAAUGAAGGGGAACCUCUGAAAACAGAGAGAUUGCCAGAGCCGGUUGCAAAAAAGAACAAAGAUGUAAAAUACAGCUCGUGCAAGAAGAUGCCUGAAGAAUGCAUGUUCAAACCCAAACCAGAAUAUGAAGGGGCCUCGCAUGUAAGCACCAACUAUCUUGGACCGCAAGUCAACGAUUUUUAUGAAGAUCAUCACUACGCAGAAACAGAUGUAUCUUCUUCGCCAAUGAAUAAUGAAUUCAACAAAGUCAAGACCUUUGAUAUACGAGGAGUCACAGAAACUGCCGCUAAGUGACUAAGAGAACUUGUACUGCCUCUCUUGAUAAUGUUAUCUUGUCUUGAG